ACGGAGGCAGCAGUGGGGAAUAUUGCACAAUGGGGGAAACCCUGAUGCAGCGACGCCGCGUGAGCGAAGAAGUAUUUCGGUAUGUAAAGCUCUAUCAGCAGGGAAGAAAAUGACGGUACCUGACUAAGAAGCUCCGGCUAAAUACGUGCCAGCAGCCGCGGUAAUACGUAUGGAGCAAGCGUUGUCCGGAUUUACUGGGUGUAAAGGGAGCGUAGACGGGACAGCAAGUCUGAUGUGAAAUGCGGGGGCUCAACCCCUGAACUGCAUUGGAAACUGUUGACCUUGAGUGCCGGAGAGGUAAGCGGAAUUCCUAGUGUAGCGGUGAAAUGCGUAGAUAUUAGGAGGAACACCAGUGGCGAAGGCAGCUUACUGGACGGUAACUGACGUUGAGGCUCGAAAGCGUGGGGAGCAAACAGGAUUAGAUACCCUGGUA
rnacentral:rRNA from 1 species